UUAGUCUUUUAUCUACAAGACGUUUCUCCCAUAAUAAUAUCCAGCUGAGAAUAGUACGCAAAAACCACCGAUAAACCAGCCAACAAACUAUUCUGACAAGACGUGGAAGCAGCAAAUCAGCUUAGACAUCUUCUGCCCCGUGGCCCUGAGCGUUGUCUGUGCUGAAGUGAACAAUGGGUCUACUGUGGAACACAUGAUCACAAUGCUGUUUAUUAAAACUGUCAAAGGAACAGGAAUGUGAUUGAGAGAAGCCAAAAGUCCACAUAUCAAGGAAUAACAUGAUUUCAGAAACUCACAGUAGGGCUCCAAUCAUUUUUCAGACUACUGUACGUAAACAUGUUUGUCUUGAAGGAAGUUUGGUCCACUCUUCAGUCAACAGAAACCCAGACAGACGACUACAG